rnacentral:rRNA from 1 species
CAGCAGCCGCGGUAAUACAUAGGGUGCAAGCGUUGUCCGGAAUUAUUGGGCGUAAAGAGCUCGUAGGUGGUUCGUCACGUCGGAUGUGAAAAUCUGGGGCUUAAACCCCAGACCUGCAUUCGAUACGGGCGAGCUAGAGUGUGGUAGGGGAGACUGGAAUUCCUGGUGUAGCGGUGGAAUGCGCAGAUAUCAGGAGGAACACCAAUGGCGAAGGCAGGUCUCUGGGCCAUUACUGACACUGAGGAGCGAAAGCGUGGGGAGCGAACAGGAUUAGAUACCCUGGUAGUCCACGCCGUAAACGGUGGGCACUAGUUGUGGGAACCUUCCACGGUUUCUGCGACGCAGCUAACGCAUUAAGUGCCCCGCCUGGGGAGUACGAUCGCAAGAUUAAAACUCAAAGGAAUUGACGGGGCCCCGCACAAGCAGCGGAGCAUGCGGCUUAAUUCGACGCAACGCGAAGAACCUUACCAAGGCUUGACAUAUACAGGAAUAUGGCAGAGAUGUCAUAGCCGCAAGGUCUGUAUACAGGUGGUGCAUGGUUGUCGUCAGCUCGUGUCGUGAGAUGUUGGGUUAAGUCCCGCAACGAGCGCAACCCUCGUUCUGUGUUGCCAGCAUUAAGUUGGGGACUCACAGGAGACUGCCGGGGUUAACUCGGAGGAAGGUGGGGGAUGACGUCAAAUCAUCAUGCCCCUUAUGUCUUGGGCUGCACGCAUGCUACAAUGGCUGGUACAAACGGCUGCGAUACCGCAAGGUGGAGCGAAUCCGAAAAAGCCAGUCUCAGUUCGGAUUGGGGUCUGCAACUCGACCCCAUGAAGUCGGAGUUGCUAGUAAUCGUAGAUCAGCAACGCUACGGUGAAUACGUUCCCGGGCGGUGUGUAC